rnacentral:lncRNA from 1 species
GUCUGGACGUUCCCCGAUUGUAGGCCGAUUAAGAAACUACUUAAUGGCUAGGAAUGAAGACAGGAUUAAAGUAGAUGGCUUCUGAGGUCCCUUCCAGUUCCAGAUCAUCAUAAUCAUCUCAUUGCUGCCUUCAGAUAUGUUCAAGAAAUAUCAAUAUGGAAGAGGAAAGAGCUAAAACAGGUUAUUGCUAGCCUUUGGCCCCAAAUGCUCUUUGGGAAUUUGGAGAAAGAGGAAGAAGACCCUGAUCUUAAUAGACCAACACCACAUUUUUUAAAGAACCUCCCAGACAGCUUUCACCUUGCCCUCCUCCUUCCUCC